rnacentral:rRNA from 1 species
GAUGAACGCUAGCGGCAGGCCUAAUACAUGCAAGUCGAGGGGCAGCAUGAUUGUAGCAAUACAAUUGAUGGCGACCGGCAAACGGGUGCGGAACACGUACACAACCUUCCAACAAGUGGGGGAUAGCCCAGAGAAAUUUGGAUUAAUACCCCGUAACAUAGCGAUGUGGCAUCACAUUGCUAUUAUAGAUUUUUCGCUUGUUGAUGGGUGUGCGGCUGAUUAGAUAGUUGGCGGGGUAACGGCCCACCAAGUCUACGAUCAGUAGCUGAUGUGAGAGCAUGAUCAGCCACACGGGCACUGGGACACGGGCCCGACUCCUACGGGAGGCAGCAGUAAGGAAUAUUGGACAAUGGACGCAAGUCUGAUCCAGCCAUGCCGCGUGAAGGAUUAAGGUCCUCUGGAUUGUAAACUUCUUUUAUAAGGGACGAAAAAAGGCUUUUCUAAGUCGUCUGACGGUACCUUAUGAAUAAGCACCGGCUAACUCCGUGCCAGCCGCCGCAGUAACAC